AUCUGGUAGGGGAGCAUUCCCUGUGCAGCGAAGCUCAGUUGCGAAGCUGUGUGGAGCGCAGGGAAGGGAGAAUGCCGGAAUGAGUAACGUUAACCCCGAUGAGAAAUCGGGGCACCGGAAGCCUGAGGUUUCCUACGCCAGGUUAAUCCGCGUAGGGUUAGUCGGUCCUAAGUCGAGGCCGGAAGGCGCAGACGAUGGAUGACAGGUAAUUAUUCCUGUACCGUUCAGGGGGAGGGUCCGGGGGAACACAGGUUGGAGGUAGGAGCGCACCCAAUGGACAUGGUGCGUCCCCGAGUUGAGGCGUGGGCUGGUAGGCAAAUCCGCCGGCCCGAUAAGCGGAGGCGAGGGGGAAGCGGAGGGGCAACCCGAAGCGAUUUCUGCUGGCCUAUCCUGUCCAGAAAAGCCUCGGAACCGAUGAUUCCUGAGCGCCCGUACUACAAACCGCCACUGGUAGGCAAGAGUAAAUGCUCUCAGGUGGACGAGAGAACCCUCGUUAAGGAACUAGGCAAUUUAGCCCCGUAACUUCGGGAGAAGGGGUCCCCGAUAGUCCCGACUUGUCGGGAAGUAUCGGGGCGCAGUGAAAUGGCUCUAGCGACUGUUUAACAAAAACACAGGUCUCUGCCAAAGCGAAAGCUGAGGUAUAGGGGCUGACACCUGCCCAGUGCCGGAAGGUUAAUGGGAGACGUUAGUCGUAAGGCGAAGCGUUGAACUGAAGCCCCGGUGAACGGCGGCCGUAACUAUAACGGUCCUAAGGUAGCGAAGUCCCUUGUCGGGUAAGUUCCGACCCGCACGAAAGGUGUAACGACUAGAGCGCUGUCUCAACGAGGGGCUCGGUGAAAUUGAAUUGCCCGUGAAGAUGCGGGCUACCCGCACCUGGACAAAAAGACCCCGUGGAGCUUUACUGUAAUUUGGCAUGGGAGCGAGGCUGGGCAUGUGUAGGAUAGGUGGGAGGCUAUGAAGCUCUGGCGCUAGCCGGGGUGGAGCCAACGGUGAAAUACCACUCUUGUCUGGUUUUGCUUCUAACCCCUGGAAAGGGGGACAGUGCCUGAUGGGCAGUUUGACUGGGGCGGUCGCCUCCCAAAAAGUAACGGAGGCGUCCAAAGGUUCCCUCAGCACGGAUGGAAAUCGUGCUUAUGAGUGCAUUGGCAUAAGGGAGCUUGACAGCGAGACCAACAAGUCGAGCUGAGACGAAAGUCGGGCAAAGUGAUCCUACGGUCCCGAGUGGAAGGGCCGUGGCUUAUCGGACAAAAGCUACCCCGGGGAUAACAGGCUGAUCUUGCCCAAGAGUUCACAUCGACGGCAAGGUUUGGCACCUCGAUGUCGGCUCGUCGCAUCCUGGGGCUGGAGCAGGUCCCAAGGGUCCGGCUGUUCGCCGGUUAAAGCGGCACGCGAGCUGGGUUCAGACCGUCGUGAGACAGGUCGGUCUCUAUCCGGUGUGGGCGGAGGAGAUUUGAAGGGAGCUCUCCCUAGUACGAGAGGACCGGGAGGGAUAGACCUCUGGUGUGCCAGCUGUCCUGCCAAGGGCAUCGCUGGUUAGCUAUGUCUGGAGGGGAUAAGCGCUGAGAGCAUCUAAGUGCGAAGCCCUCCCUAAGAUUAGAUCUCCCAUC
rnacentral:rRNA from 1 species